rnacentral:rRNA from 1 species
AAGGGAGGAGKAACUCGCGUCCGAAUWCGUUAGCAUGGGAUAAUGGAAUACGACUUCGGUCUUGUUUCGUUGGUUUCGCUUGGCUGAAGUAAUGAUUGAUAGGGACAGUUGGGGGCAUUAGUAUUUAGUUGUCAGAGGUGAAAUUCUAGGAUUUACUAAAGACUGACCAAUGCGAAAGCAUUUGCCAAGGAUGUUUUCAUUAAUCAAGAACGAAAGUAGGGGGAUCGAAGACGAUCAGAUACCGUCGUAGUCUCUACCGUAAACUAUGCCGACCAGGGAUCCGGAGAGUUUGCAUGGAUGACUCCCCGGGCACCUUGUGAGAAAUCAUAAGUGUUUGGGUUUUGGGGGGAGUAUGGUCGCAAGGCUGAAACUAAAGGAAUGACGAAGGCGCUAAUAUGC